ACCGCGUGAUGCACAAUGGACCAGAGUAACGGAGAACGCCGUGGGAACCAGCCGGAAUACCACCGGAACCCUCAUUCUGCGUCGCCGAAUUGGCCUUCCGACGAGACUGUCUCUCUUAACGACGACAAUCAUAGAAGAAACUUUCCCGGCGAUGGCAACCACUACAAUCGCCGCCAACAUCACCAUCACCACCACCACCAAAACCCUAAUUCCGAGCAAAAUUUCGGUGGUUCUCCGCUUCUUUCAGCUCGUAAGAGACCUUACGAUCAAUCAACAUCUGACUCUCAGGUUCGCUUUGGAUCUGUGAAACUCUAUGUUGUAGGAGUACCAAGACCAGCCGAAGAAGAAGACGUUCGUUCUGUUUUUGCUGAACAUGGGAAUAUUAUUGAGGUUGUUCGGCUCAAGGAUAAAUCCACUGGUUUGAGGAAAGAAUGCUGUUUUGUGAAGUAUAGCACGCUAGAUGAAGCUGAUAGGGCGAUUGGAGCAUUCCAUGGUCGAUAUACUUUCCCUGGGGGUGAGGUUCCCUUAAUAAUUAGGUAUGCUGAUGGGGAACGAGAACGUCUUGGAAGCUUGGGUGAACAAAAUCACAAACUUUAUGUUGGUGGUCUGAGGAAACAAGUUUCCAAAAGAGAAGUUGAGCAUGUAUUUUCUCCAUAUGGAGUUGUUGAAGAAGUCUUUUUCUUGCUUGAUGAACAAAAACAACGCCGUGGAAGUGCUUUUGUCAGUUUUGCUUGUAAAGACAUGGCGGUUGCGGCAAUGAAUGCACUACAUGGUACCUAUGUAACGACGAAAGUCUGUCAUCAGCCGUUGAUUGUUCGAUUUGCGGAUCCUAAGAAGCCCAAGGUGGGCGAGUCGAGGGCGCCAUCCCAUAUGAAUGAGCAAUUUAAUGGGAAUAUAGCAGCUAACCAGUCUAAUCACCAGAGUCCAAAUAAGACUCCAAAUAACAGAAGCAAUCCUCAGACAGUUUUCAGCACUUAUGUCGGAUCAGAUAUUGUUUUGCCAUCAGCUGCAUCUUCUGUCAAUGCAAGAUCUUUAAAUGGUGAGAUGGUGGAGUCUAUAGAUUGUGAAUGGAGCGAACAUAUCUGUCCUGAUGGAUUCGUAUAUUAUUAUAACUGCAUGACGUGUGAAAGCUGGUGGGAGAAGCCUGAGGAAUUUGCACUUUAUGAAAAGAAAAUGGAAAAGUUAGAUCUGCAGCAACAGGAUCAGCGCAAUUUAAGACUUCCAGUCCGUAAUAAUCCAGAAGUUUCUCAAAUGCGUGAGGAACUCGAAACAGGAAGCUCAACGGUUCCUCUGGCUUGUGUCUAAACUGCAUUGGUUUUCAUUUUUGAAGUGGCUAGAACUGAAGCGAAUGGUAUUGGAUUUUCAAAUACAAGUGAGACUGGCCGUGAGAGGCAACAUUUCUGAAGACUGGAUUUCUUGGAAUUCAGUUCUCAGGGUCUAUUGGAAACAACCUCUCCGCCUUCCAGGAUAGGGCAGUGGCGAAGCCAGAAAUUUUCUCAAGGGUGUUCAAACUUGAAAUAAGUAAAAAAAAAUUCGAUAAAGGGUGUUCAAUACAUGUUAUGUACCUCUAAAAUAUAGUAAUAUUUUACCUAUCUAAACAGUGUAGCUUUCCGACAAAGGGCUGUCAAUUGAUCACCCUAACCCAAGUGUGCCUUCGCCCUUGGGGUAGGGGUAAUGCUGCGUACAUCUUAUCCUCCCCAGACCAAACUUGCUGGAAAUUACUGGGCUUGUUGUUGUUAAUAGUACAGAUGUUCGGACACCUU